AUUUUGUUUUUGAAAGUUUAACGCAAAGCUUGUAAUUAAGCAGAAAUCUAGACAAAUUUUUUUUUUAUCGCCAAAUAAAGAUUUUUACAAAAAAAAAUUGUUUUGUGCUGAAGUUACAAUUGUUAUCAAUGAAAUAAAAUCAAUAUAAUGGACAAGAUCACACAAGCGUUGUUGCAGACUAAAGCAUCUAACCUUAAAAACGAUAUGACAAAGAAUGUCGCCUCGUUUUGGUCUGAAGAUGACGAUAAGGCUAAUGAAAUUAAACGGCAGAAAUAUUUAAAGGAAAUAGAGCAGCGUCAAGAUAACGAAAAACUUGAACGCGAAGAGCGCGCCCGAAUACGAAACUCCGAACGAGAAAAGUUUCGUUCGACUCUUCGCGAAAAAUACGAUUUGAAGGGUAGUACAGUAUCAAACAACUCAAAAGGUCCCUGCCAGCCCAGCAGCACAACUAUACCUAAAUUAAACGAAAAUGUUGACGAAAAUGAUAAAUCCAAAGAAUGCCUAAUUCAAUAGCGGCUGCUCUUUACUAAAAGUAUUACGUCAGUACACUCAAAAUCGCAGUUUCAGAUUCACUAAACAAUUUUUUAGAUAAAAAAUUUUAAAUAUGUUUUAUAAACCACAAAUAUUUUAAUAAAAGCUAUACC
rnacentral:lncRNA from 1 species